UCAGUUUUUGUAAAAGGCGGUGAGCAUAACAAUACGUGUUUGGUAAAAACAGUUAUUUGUUGCUAUGUUGAAUCAGAAAUUAGAAAGAAUUUAAAAAGAAAAAAAAACAACAACCAAAAACAAACAAGCACACACACUCACACACACACACACUCACACACAUCCCGGGGGGGAGAAACACACACACAAAACCCUUGCCUCUGCAUGAUGCCAUAGACAAGAGUCCAAAGGACAUUAGCUGCUCCGUUGCACACAUUGGAGAGAGAGUUCGCUGUGGGCUCUGUCUCUCUAAUAGACUGGCGAUUUGGUAAAAGGUUUUAGAGGGUUUUGUUUAACCAUUUCUGCAUGUGUUUUUAAUGAGCUCAUGAUGCUUCGUAACAAAGGCCAGGUUGUGAGGUUUGCAGCCUUUUUUCGGACCUGAUCCCUUCCCGCUGACCUGCAGAGUGAGCACCUGUGCUCCUUGCCUGGCUCACCUAUGGGAGUCAAGGUGGUGGGGCCAUCUCCGGGCCUGUCUUCAUGCCAGGGAUGAAUCAUGCGGUAGGCAGGGCGGAAGGAGUCUCUUUGUUGACAGCUCUCCAUCUGGACUUUGGAUACGGCCGGCCGUUCAUGGAGAGCCUGGGUGAGCUGGAAAGGGCUGCUCGAAUCAGCCCCUCCAUGAAGGCCCCGGGGCAGUAAAACACCUGCAAAGGAACUGCCUGGCAUUUCAGUUGCAAAAGCAGAGGAGCGUCCCCCACAACCCCAGUUCCAGCCUUCCAACUUGAGUCUAGCCCAAAGCCUGCCCUCUAAUACAUAUCAUACUUGAUAUUAAAGUGAGAAGAGGGUGAUUUGUGGGAGCUGCGUGAGAACCGUGUUCCCCUCAGGGCCAGCCUAUGUGGAGUCGACCCCUCUGUUCAGGUAACAACUGACGUGAAAACCAGUCGCAGGGAGAAUGGCCGGGAAGGAGAGAGCCUUACCACGCGCUUCCAACAGCAGCUCUGAACCCGCAUGUCCUGCGCAUGCCUACUGUUCAAAAGGAGAUGGAGCUGAGGGCAGGGUGCCUAUCUCUUCGUGUGCCUGUGACUCUCGGAGGAGCCAUGGUAUCCUUUAAACGUAUCCCCAGGGCUCCUGGAAACCUCCUGCAGCUCUAAGGUUUCGCGGCGGGACUGCAGCAAUAUAAGGCUUGCGUGUGCUAAGAGGAUGUGAGGACUUCUGAACCGCAGCUCUGGCCCCCAAGUGCCCUGCAGCUUUCUCUGGAGGGGCGCCCUUGAUUUCUGAAGCAUCCACAGCCUUGCCUCAGGCAGGACUGACCAGGAGCUGAAAAGAGAAGGCUUGGAAGGUCUCUGGAAAGGUCUUGCUUCUAAAAACCAGAAACCUGGAGGGAGGAAGUUGACAAGAAAUCUGCCCUCUUGUUCUUUGCUGACUAAACCAUGUUGUCUUGUACUAG